rnacentral:rRNA from 1 species
CCUACGGGUGGCAGCAGUGAGGAAUAUUGGUCAAUGGCCGGAAGGCUGAACCAGCCAAGUCGCGUGAAGGAAGAAGGUGCUAUGGUUUGUAAACUUCUUUUAUAGGGGGAUAAAUUUAUCCACGUGUGCCUUUUUGCAUGUACCCUAUGAAUAAGCAUCGGCUAACUCCGUGCCAGCAGCCGCGGUAAUACGGAGGAUGCGAGCGUUAUCCGGAUUUAUUGGGUUUAAAGGGUGCGUAGGUUGUUUUGUAAGUCAGCGGUGAAAGUUUGGGGCUCAACCGUAAAAUUGCCGUUGAAACUGGAAGACUUGAGUGGGUGUGAGGUAGGCGGAAUGCGUGGUGUAGCGGUGAAAUGCAUAGAUAUCACGCAGAACUCCGAUUGCGAAGGCAGCAUACUAAG